UACGUAGGGGGCGAGCGUUGUCCGGAAUUACUGGGCGUAAAGAGCUCGUAGGUGGUUUGUCGCGUUGUUCGUGAAAUCUCACGGCUUAACUGUGAGCGUGCGGGCGAUACGGGCAGACUAGAGUACUGCAGGGGAGACUGGAAUUCCUGGUGUAGCGGUGGAAUGCGCAGAUCUCAGGAGGAACACCGGUGGCGAAGGCGGGUCUCUGGGCAGUAACUGAAGCUGAGGAGCGAAAGCGUGGGGAGUGAACAGG
rnacentral:rRNA from 1 species